AGCGAACGCUGGCGGCAGGCCUAACACAUGCAAGUCGAACGAAGUCUUCGAACUUAGUGGCGGACGGGUGAGUAACACGUGGGAACGUACCUUUUGGUUCGGAACAACUCAGGGAAACUUGAGCUAAUACCGGAUGAGCCCUUAGGGGGAAAGAUUUAUCGCCGAAAGAGCGGCCCGCGUUAGAUUAGUUAGUUGGUGAGGUAAAGGCUCACCAAGGCUACGAUCUAUAGCUGGUCUGAGAGGAUGAUCAGCCACACUGGGACUGAGACACGGCCCAGACUCCUACGGGAGGCAGCAGUGGGGAAUCUUGCGCAAUGGGCGAAAGCCUGACGCAGCCAUGCCGCGUGAAUGAUGAAGGUCUUAGGAUUGUAAAAUUCUUUUACCAGGGACGAUAAUGACGGUACCUGGAGAAAAAGCCCCGGCUAACUUCGUGCCAGCCGCCGCCGUAACAC
rnacentral:rRNA from 1 species